AGCUUUGCGUGGGGGCAGUGUCAUAGUCAGUGAGAUUUAUCCGAGGCACAAUUAUUGCUAAUUGAAAACUAAACUUAGCCUCCUAGACUGUCAUUUGCAAAGAAGUGAGGUUUUCCUAGAAGCUUUAGCUCUGUGUGUGUGUG
rfam:Fukomys damarensis contig120151, whole genome shotgun sequence.